GAUGAACGCUGGCUACAGGCUUAACACAUGCAAGUCGAGGGGAAACGACGGGGAAGCUUGCUUCCCCGGGCGUCGACCGGCGCACGGGUGAGUAACGCGUAUCCAACCUGCCUCUGACUGAGGGAUAACCCGUCGAAAGUCGGCCUAAUACCUCAUGGUAUCGUCUGCGGGCAUCCAACGACGAUUAAAGAUUUCAUCGGUCAGGGAUGGGGAUGCGUCUGAUUAGCUUGUUGGCGGGGUAACGGCCCACCAAGGCUACGAUCAGUAGGGGUUCUGGGAGGAAGGUCCCCCACAUUGGAACGGGGACCAGGUCCAAACUCCUACGGGAGGCAGCAGUGAGGAAUAUUGGUCAAUGGGCGAGAGCCUGAACCAGCCAAGUAGCGUGCAGGAAGACGGCCCUAUGGGUUGUAAACUGCUUUUAUGCGGGGAUAAAGUGAGGGACGUGUCCCUCAUUGCAGGUACCGCAUGAAUAAGGACCGGCUAAUUCCGUG
rnacentral:rRNA from 1 species